rnacentral:rRNA from 1 species
AGAGUUUGAUCCUGGCUCAGGAUGAACGCUGGCGGCAUGCCUAAUACAUGCAAGUCGAACGAGAGGAAGGAAAGCUUGCUUUUCUGAAUCUAGUGGCGAACGGGUGAGUAACACGUAGGUAACCUGCCCAUGUGCCCGGAAUAACUUCUGGAAACGGAUGCUAAAACCGGAUAGGUAGCAGACAAGCAUUUGACUGCUAUUAAAGUGGCUUUGGCCAUGAACAUGGAUGGACCUGCGGUGCAUUAGCUGGUUGGUGAGGUAACGGCCCACCAAGGCGACGAUGCAUAGCCGGCCUGAGAGGGCGGACGGCCACAUUGGGACUGAGACACGGCCCAAACUCCUACGGGAGGCAGCAGUAGGGAAUUUUCGUCAAUGGGGGGAACCCUGAACGAGCAAUGCCGCGUGAGUGAGGAAGGUCUUCGGAUCGUAAAGCUCUGUUGUAAGAGAAAAACGGCACUCAUAGGGAAUGAUGAGUGAGUGAUGGUAUCUUACCAGAAAGUCACGGCUAACUACGUGCCAGCAGCCGCGGGAAUAACGUAGGUGGCGAGGCGUUAUCCGGAAUGGAUUGGGCGUUAAAGGGGGGCGUAGGGUGGGCAGAUCAAGUUUGGGAGUAAAAGGGUAGGGGUUCAACCCGUACUGGGCUUUGGAAAACUGAUCAGCUAGAGAACAGAAGAGGACGGCGGAACUCCAUGUGUAGCGGUAAAAUGCGUUAGAUAUAUGGAAGAACACCGGGUGGGGAAGGCGGCCGUCUGGGUCUGGAUUUCUGACACUGAAGCACGAAAGCGUGGGGAGGCAAAUAGGAUUAGAUACCCUAGUAGUCCACGCUGUAAACGAUGAUUACUAGGUGUGGGGGGACUGACCCCUUCCGUGCCGCAGUUAACACAAUAAGUAAUCCACCUGGGGAGUACGACCGCAAGGUUGAAACUCAAAGGAAUUGACGGGGGCCCGCACAAGCAGUGGAGUAUGUGGUUUAAUUCGAAGCAACGCGAAGAACCUUACCAGGUCUUGACAUCGUAUGCAUAUCUAAGAGAUUAGAGAAAUCCCUUCGGGGACAUAUAGACAGGUGGUGCAUGGUUGUCGUCAGCUCGUGUCGUGAGAUGUUGGGUUAAGUCCCGCAACGAGCGCAACCCUUACCUUUAGUUGCUACGCAAGAGCACUCUAGAGGGACUGCCGUUGACAAAACGGAGGAAGGUGGGGAUGACGUCAAAUCAUCAUGCCCCUUAUGACCUGGGCUACACACGUACUACAAUGGCAAUUAACAGAGGGCAGCAAAGCAGCGAUGCAGAGCGAAUCCCUAAAAAUUGUCCCAGUUCAGAUUGUAGGCUGCAACUCGCCUACAUGAAGACGGAAUUGCUAGUAAUCGCAGAUCAGAAUGCUGCGGUGAAUACGUUCCCGGGCCUUGCACUCACCGCCCGUCAA